rnacentral:rRNA from 1 species
GUGGGGAAUCUUGCGCAAUGGGCGAAAGCCUGACGCAGCCAUGCCGCGUGAAUGAUGAAGGUCUUAGGAUUGUAAAAUUCUUUCACCGGGGACGAUAAUGACGGUACCCGGAGAAGAAGCCCCGGCUAACUUCGUGCCAGCAGCCGCGGUAAUACGAAGGGGGCUAGCGUUGCUCGGAAUUACUGGGCGUAAAGGGCGCGUAGGCGGACAGCUUAGUCAGAGGUGAAAGCCCAGGGCUCAACCUUGGAAUUGCCUUUGAUACUGGCUGUCUUGAGUUUGGGAGAGGUGAGUGGAACUCCGAGUGUAGAGGUGAAAUUCGUAGAUAUUCGGAAGAACACCAGUGGCGAAGGCGACUCACUGGCCCAAUACUGACGCUGAGGCGCGAAAGCGUGGGGAGCAAACAGGAUUAGAAACCCUGGUAGUCC